AGAGUUUGAUCCUGGCUCAGAUUGAACGCUGGCGGCAGGCCUAACACAUGCAAGUCGAGCGGAUGAGUGGAGCUUGCUCCAUGAUUCAGCGGCGGACGGGUGAGUAAUGCCUAGGAAUCUGCCUGGUAGUGGGGGACAACGUUUCGAAAGGAACGCUAAUACCGCAUACGUCCUACGGGAGAAAGCAGGGGACCUUCGGGCCUUGCGCUAUCAGAUGAGCCUAGGUCGGAUUAGCUAGUUGGUAGGGUAAUGGCCUACCAAGGCGACGAUGGUUAGCUGGUCUGAGAGGAUGAUCAGCCACACUGGAACUGAGAUACGGUCCAGACUCCUACGGGAGGCAGCAGUGAGGAAUAUUGCGCAAUGGGGGAAACCCUGACGCAGCAACGCCAUGUGAGGGAUGAAGCAUUUCGGUGUGUAAACCUCUGUCGGCAGGGAAUAAACUCCGCGUAAGGCGGACUGAAUGUACCUGCAAAGGAAGCCCCGGCUAACUUCGUGCCAGCAGCCGCGGUAAUACGAGGGGGGCAAGUGUUGUUCGGAAUCACUGGGUGUAAAGGGAGCGUAGGCGGAAGCCCAAGUCAGAUGUUUAAUUUCAGGGCCUAACCCUGAACUUGCGUUUGAAACUGGAUUUCUCGAAUAUAGGAGAGGUGAAUGGAAUUCCCGGUGCAGCGGUGGAAUGCGUAGAUAUCGGGAGGAACACCAGCUGCGAAGGCGAUUCACUGGCCUAAUAUCGACGCUGAGGCUCGAAAGCGUGGGGAGCAAACAGGAUUAGAUACCCUGGUAGUCC
rnacentral:rRNA from 1 species